rnacentral:lncRNA from 1 species
AAAUAUUUGAUUUCGUAUAAUUUAGAGACAAAAAUAGAAAACAUUUUAAAAGUUCAAUGACAGAAACAAAUCGCGAACAACACUUUAGUGACCAUUUUUGUACUUUACCCGUAUAUUAAAAUACUAAUUCGAAAAAGAAAAUAUACCAGACAGAAGGAAGAAUAUGACCCGAACCUAAAAUUGUUGCCCGAAACUUACCUAAUAUUUUAGACUUAGGAAUCGUUGGAAAUGAAUAUCAUAAUAACUUAAGUAAUUGAAAAGAUAAGUGGACUAGUAUAGAUAGUAUUGUAAUAGGCCCAUUUCGCCCGGGCCCAUAACAAAAAACCAAAAAAACAAAAUAAAUAAAUAAAACCAAAUGUUAAUAAUCUAAGUCCCUUUUGUUACAACAGAGCCCAAACCAAAAUAAACCCAGCAUCCGACCCAAAUAUUAAACUCAGAUUAACCCAAUUAACUCAAAUAGCCCAGCACCCAAUGGCCCAAAACUAAACCAAAUUUUCGGCAGAAACCCUAAGGUUCCCUUGCGCUGCAACUGGUUUCCAACACCUUCCAGCACUGCUUUGCCUCCGGCCAGUCCCACGUGCGCCAUCAGCCAGCUGGCUCCAUACUUGCAACAAAUGGAAAUCACAACAGCAAAUGACAGAUAAUAUAACGGAAUAACAACAAACAAAUGAAGGGGGAAAAGGAGAAAUUUGUAAAUAUUUAUAUUUGAUUUUGGCUAUAUAAAGCCAAUUGUAUACUGUAAAGAAGGGGAGAAGGAAAUCUGUUUUUUUUUCAGAGAAAUAUUUUACGCAUACUAAAUACAAUCAAAGAUUAGAAGGUGAUUUUCGAUCUAUUUUCGGCAUUUCGAUUUCUUUUUUCCCUUGUUCUCGCCUACAUUUUUCGCAUAAAAAAAUAAGGAGAAAUGAGAGAGGAUUACCUUCGUGGGUGUACCGUCCGGGUCCUUGUCUCCUCCGUUGAAAUCGGAGUUUUAGAUAAAGAUUUUCAGGUGAAAAUAGGCUUUGAAUCUUAGCUUUAUUGGAUAUAAAAAGGGCUUUCUCAUCAUUCACCGAUUUUAAUAGUGAAAAUGGUGGUUAAAUGGUGGAUGAGGGAAGAGUUUUUUGGUUUGGCUGAAUGGGGAAGGAAGGAAGCUUUAGGGCACGUUUGGUUCGCUGUAUUGGAUUAGAGGUGUAUUGGAUUAGAGGUGUAAUGGAUUAGAGGUGUAUUGGAUUAGAGAUGUAAUGGAUUAGAGGUGUAUUGGAAUAGAGGUGUAAUAGCAAAUCAACUGUUUGGUUGAAUGUAAUGGAAUAGAGGCGUAAUAGUAAUCUUGUGUUUGGUUGAAUGGAAUAGAGGUGUAAUAGCAUAAUGGAAAAAACUAAAAUGACUAGAAUACCCUUAGCAUAAAUUUGUUUUGGUAAAUGAUUAUUGUUAUUGUUAUUUAAAUUUUAAUAAGAUUAUUAAUAUCAAUAAUAAAUAAUUUAAUCAUAUUUAAACAUAAUUAUUAUUAAAUAUAUUAUAAUUAAAAUAUAUAAUUUAAUAAAAUUCUUAAUAAUCAAUAUUCUUAUAUGAAUUUACUCAAAUCAUAAUAUAUGAUACUAUAAAAUAUAAAUUAACAUAAUUAUUAUUAAAUAUAUUAUAAUUAAAAUAUAUAAUUUAAUAAAAUUCUUAAUAAUCAAUAUUCUUAUAUGAAUUUACUCAAAUCAUAAUAUAUGAUACUAUAAUUUACUCAAAUUCUUAUAUGAAUUUAAUAAAAGAUCAUUUGAAAUAAUUAAUAUUAAAAUUAACAUGUAACUGUUUGUUACUCAUUCUUUGUUUCUUAUUCUUUUUGUUUUGAUCAUGUAUCAAUCAUUUAAACCAAAUGCUUGGUUGUAUUGGACAGUGUUUUAUUACUUUAUAAAUGCAUGAUUUUAUAUACACAAAUACAUAUGUAUAGGAAAAUUAUCUGAAUGAAUGGUUAAUAUUUAUUAUCAGCAAAACUUAGUAUAUACACACAUAAAUUAAGGUAAGAUAAUUAACUCGAUAUCUAGCUUGAGCAGCUCGAGUUUGUCUAAACAAUACAUCAAAACUUUUUAUUUUGAAGCUUAUAAACUUAAACAGCUUAAGUGUCUUAUUUUUCAUUAUGCUAUAAAGGGAAUAUAAAUAAAUACCAGAAUUUUGAUACGAAAAAUUGCAGCAAGCAAAGCAAUAUCCUGCUAUUAAACUCACUAUAAAAUAUGUAAUAUAGCAAACAAAGAUCUCUCAACUGAUCUUUAAUCUUUUUAAUCAUUUGUAAAUAAAAGAAAAAAUUACAAAAAAGAACAACCUGCAGAAUGUUUGAUGACAAAAACUAACAAAAAUCCAUGAUUCAAUAUCAAAUUCAAGAUGCAUUCUCCUUUUUCAGCUUAGCAAGUUCUUGCUUGAUGACUCCAGACCUCUGCAAAACCGUAUUACAGCUCGUCAAGCUUCGAUUGAAGUUUUGAGGAAGUGCUUUCAAGAAAAGAACUCUGGUAUAAAACGGGUAGACACAAUAGGGGGUGUAUCGGAAACUGACCUUGAUCUUAGCCAACAUAAGCUUGAACCUAUCAAAGUCGUUGAGAGAUGCUCUUCUCUUCUGGACAAUCAACUUUCUACCCCACGAGCUACUUUCCCAUUUGUUCUUAACAUCUGUAAGUUAACAUAAGAGUGAUAAGAAAGAAAACAUAUCUUCAAGAAACAACAUUACAAAUGCUGGUGAAAGCUGUCGUCGUCCUUACCAGCCUUCUCCAUAGCUUCGAUCAACCCAUUUGUUCUUAGGAACACGUGGAAUUUCAAUUGUGAUAUCUGUCAAUGUAAGCCUCUUGAAGUUCAUUUGGCCUCUUACCAUAUCCGGGGCAUCAACAAGUGCCUGCCACAUUAAAAAUAGUCACUUCUUACACGCACAUCUCCAAAUAACACCUAUAGGACUUCAACUAGACUAGUUGGCUGAUAAAGGAACAUUGAUAAUUGAGCAGACCAUAAUCCAAAGACUAAAACCAGCAAGAUGGGUUAGUAGAAAAAUUAUGCAGCCAAAAUCUAAUGGUCACAUUAAAGACAUGUUUAAACCCUUCAUAUGACAUGUGAUAAAGGAAAGGGCUUUCUUACAUGACCACAGGUAAGUUUGCAGGCAAUUGCAUGACUUGCUUCAUGCAAGAAUACUGUAAUGAGCUUAAAAGGCAGCAACAGCACUGUUCUCCAUAUCUACAACAAUCAGGGGGAAACAUUAGGUCAAUCCAUUUAAGCAAACAGAGGCAACCAGUUCAAAUUCCAAAGAAUGCUGUAUCUUUUAACAGAAAUUCAACUGCAGUGAAUCCCCCUAGAAAACUCCUAAAACCUUGGCAUCCUCAUCCUUAUGAACAACUUAUGAAAAUUGUUGUAAAUGCCAUAGCAUUUAUGAGUUCCUUAUGAACAGAUUUACAACAAGUAUUACAAAAGUAAAUCACAAAUGCUCCAAGAAAAGAACCCAAUUUCCUUCAACGUGCAAACCAAGAAACUAUUUAAACUGAAUCUAUUUCGUAAUUCAAAUUACCAUCAAUUUUCUUGGAAGUAAGUGAAUGCAAAUGCAUGCAGGAGAUAAUAUCAAUGGAGAAGCAGAUCGAAGAAACAUUCUAAAACAGAGGAUUAAUUUGCUUCCCUCGAUUGAACUCCCUCAAAUUGAAAGAUCUUCAGAAACUCAUUGGAUUUUUCCAUGAAGAUUAUACUGUUGACUUCCCAGCCUUAAAGAUUCUUGAGAUAGAAAAUAGUCCAGACUUGAAGGCAUUCAUCCAUAAAUCUAUCGACAAAUAUAACCCUACUGGUGGAGUUUUGUUCAACGAAAAGGUACUGUUUUUAACGCAGUGAAUUGUACCUUAUUUCCAUUUCUCUUGUUAUAAUUAACUCUUCUAAUCAUUUCUUCCACAGACAUGAAUACUGACAUCAACUAUAUUACUUCUGUUAAAUUCACCAUCUCUAAACAACAUAAAUUCAAGGAUUAACUAAACAUAACAAUAAAAAGAAUUCAAAACCCCAAAAAGAACAAAUCUUGCAGAGACCCAAAAUUAAAAAAAAAAUGAAACAUGAUUACAUAUGGCUUGUAAAUUGAAGGUUUAGUUAACCUGUAAUGAAUAUGGAUUUCCUUUGAAAUAGAUUGAAGCCUUGAGUGGAGCCUGGAAAGAAGCAGAAAUGGCGAUAACUAGGCGCAGGCAAGGCAACCAAGAAGAGGAAUAAAUUAGGAGGAAUGGAAAGCUUAAAAACCCAAAACACUAACCUGUAAAUGACCAAAUCCGGGCACAGUGCGAUGAAGAAGAAGCUGUAAUCAGAAAAGGGGAAACCGAUUACAUGCAGAAUCAGCAGAGUGAAACAAAUCUGGAGGGGAUUAACUUGCCAACAACGAAUUCGGCAGAGGCUAGAAGGAACAGAAGAGAAACGGGGAAGCAGAUGGGAGGGUAUAACAGGGAUGGUAAACCUAUGCGGAGCCUAAUCUGAGCAAAUGGGGUGUAUUAGAAAUCGGUGGAUUUCACCGAUUAAGUUAGUCGCGUAUUACAGCCGUAAUAGAAAAACCACGAACCAAACAACGGCAUAGAGGCGUCUUAAGUAGGCCCCACCGAUUAGGGGUGUAUUGGCUAUGCCAAUACACCCAACCAAACAUGUUGUUAGUUUUUUUUUUUUUGCUUUGAUUCUUUUUCAAAUAGCUGAGUGUUAGUCUAGGUUUUUUAGUUUUGAGUUAUGAGAUUUGGUCUUUGAGGGUUAUUUGCGUGAUCAGUCCCUCCCCUCCUGCAUUAAUCUUUGAUUCGGCCUUGAUUCUGUUUAUUUGUUUUUACAUUUUCCCUGAGAUUCACGCAUUGUUACAAUUUUAUCCUUGUUUAAACGUUGUGCUUUGAGAUUUGGAAUAUUUCCAGUUUCGAUCCCUGCACAUUUGCGCGCAUUGCGCUUUAGUCUUUUACGAUUUCAAUGGUUUAAUUUAUUAAUUAUCCCUCUCAUUUUAACUUUAUUUUAAUUGAGUUUCUUU